UCGGGUGACUAUAGCAAGGAGGUCACUCCUGUUCCCAUGCCGAACACAGAAGUUAAGCUCCUUAGCUUCGAUGGUAGUCGAACUUACGUUCCGCUAUAGUAGAACGUUGCCAGGC
rnacentral:rRNA from 1 species